GCGGCGGACGGGUGAGUAACACGUGGGCAACCUGCCUGUAAGACUGGGAUAACCCCGGGAAACCGGGGCUAAUACCGGAUAAUACUUUCUUUUGCAUAAAGGAAAGUUGAAAGGCGGCUUCGGCUGUCACUUACAGAUGGGCCCGCGGCGCAUUAGCUAGUUGGUGAGGUAACGGCUCACCAAGGCGACGAUGCGUAGCCGACCUGAGAGGGUGAUCGGCCACACUGGGACUGAGACACGGCCCAGACUCCUACGGGAGGCAGCAGUAGGGAAUCUUCCGCAAUGGACGAAAGUCUGACGGAGCAACGCCGCGUGAGUGAUGAAGGUUUUCGGAUCGUAAAACUCUGUUGUUAGGGAAGAACAAGUACGAUAGUAACUGAUCGUACCUUGACGGUACCUAACCAGAAAGCCACGGCUAACUACGUGCCAGCAGCCGCGGUAAUACGUAGGUGGCAAGCGUUGUCCGGAAUUAUUGGGCGUAAAGCGCUCGCAGGCGGUCCUUUAAGUCUGAUGUGAAAUCUCGCGGCUCAACCGCGAACGGUCAUUGGAAACUGGAGGACUUGAGUACAGAAGA
rnacentral:rRNA from 1 species